CUUGGGGCGGCAUACCCCGGGAAACUGGGGAUAAUUCCGGAUAACGCAUAUUUGCUGGAAUGCUUUAUGCGUCAAAAGGAUUCGUCUGCCCAAGGAUGGGUCUGCGGCCUAUCAGGUAGUAGUGGGUGUAAUGUACCUACUAGCCAGCGACGGGUACGGGUUGUGAGAGCAAGAGCCCGGAGAUGGAUUCUGAGACAUGAAUCCAGGCCCUACGGGGCGCAAGCAGGCGCGAAAACUUUACAAUGCGGGAAACCGUGAUAAGGGGACACCGAGUGCCAGCAUCAUAUGCUGGCUGUCCGGAUGUGUAAAAUACAUCCGUUAGCAAGGGCCGGGCAAGACCGGUGCCAGCCGCCGCGGUAACACCGGCGGCCCGAGUGGUGAUCGUGAUUAUUGGGUCUAAAGGGUCCGUAGCCGGUUUGGUCAGUCCUCCGGGAAAUCUGAUAGCUCAACUAUUAGGCUUUCGGGGGAUACUGCCAGACUUGGAACCGGGAGAGGUAAGAGGUACUACAGGGGUAGGAGUGAAAUCUUGUAAUCCCUGUGGGACCACCUGUGGCGAAGGCGUCUUACCAGAACGGGUUCGACGGUGAGGGACGAAAGCUGGGGGCACGAACCGGAUUAGAUACCCGGGUAGUCCCAGCCGUAAACGAUGCUCGCUAGGUGUCAGGCAUGGCGCGACCGUGUCUGGUGCCGCAGGGAAGCCGUGAAGCGAGCCACCUGGGA
rnacentral:rRNA from 1 species